UACGUAGGAGACGAGCGUUGUCCGGAGUUACUGGGCGUAAAGGGUGCGCAGGCGGCCUCGCGCGUCGCGAGUGAAAUCUCCCGGCUCAACUGGGAGGGUGGUCGCGAGACGGCGGGGCUUGAGGCUCGGUGAGGGGCGUGGAAUUCCGGGUGGAGCGGUGAAAUGCGUAGAGAUGUGGAAGAACACCUGUGGCGAAAGCGGUUCUCUAGCUUAUUCCUGACGCUGAGGCACGAAAGCGUGGGGAUCAAACAGG
rnacentral:rRNA from 1 species